UGCCAGCCGCCGCGGUAAGACGGGAGAUGCAAGCGUUAUUCGGAUUUAUUGGGCGUAAAGGGUCUGUAGGUUGUUGGUUAAGUCUAUGGUCAAAUUCCGAAGCUCAACUUCGGGCCGGCACUAGAAACUAAUCAACUUGAGUACGUUAGAGGCAGGGGGAAUUCCCAGUGUAGCGGUGAAAUGCGUAGAUAUUGGGAGGAACAUCAAUGGCGAAGGCACCCUGCUAGGCCGAUACUGACACUGAAAGACGAAAGCUAGGGGAGCAAAUGGGAUUAGAUA
rnacentral:rRNA from 1 species